GGGCCUGGAGCCAGGAGGGUCGCACCUCCAGGGGUCGGUCUGCCUGGCAGGGGCAGGAGCGUGGAGACAGAAUCGGGGCAGGAACGACUGGAAGCGAGCAGCUGGGCAAGGAAGGAGCAGGAGAGCUUGGUCAGGCCGGGGUUCCAGCAGCUGAGCGAAAGGAACGGAAAGACCGAUUCCUUAAUUGGCCGCCAGGGAAUAAACGGCAGGUAGGCCUAGCUCGGUCCAGUCUUUCCAGCCCCACGCCGCCCCUCUCCGCUGGGAGCCGCACAGAGAGAGGCAGAGGGCUCCCUGUCGUUUUCUGAGAAGAGACUUAAAACCACGGCAGGAGGCAGAGGACAUAAUGUGAGCAGCUGGAGAAAACGGUCAGAUUCCUGCUCCCUGCGACCUUCCUUCUCCAGACGACCCUGCCAUUCCCUCUGGCUUCCCCCGCCGAACCCUGCCCUGCAAGCCGACAGGAGAGACGGGACCAGAAGGAGGAGGAAGCGGCAGCAAGUCAAUGACACCACAGACUCACUGAUCGUGCAGGCGACUUCACUUUGCCGGGGCAGAAAGGACACGACCCGAACCAGCCUGUUGAAAACACUACAGCUCAAGAGCCAAGUGCCACUGGUGAAUGCAGGCACUGAGGGCCCACACUGCAUCCAGGGAGAACGCCACGGAUAAUGAGCUCCAGGAUAUGAUAGAGAUCAACAAAUGCAAGGCUUCGGGAAAUCCCAAUGCACUGUGCCCACUUCAGAGAUGUGACUACCCCUGUGUGGAACUGUCUUAUGUGUGCGCGUGCAUGUUUCUUUCCGGUCCCACCCCGGAGGAGCGCCACCGUUCUGGGGGCAGGAACCUGUAUGUCCUACGUUCCUAGCGUCUGGAGUGAAGCUUAAAACAAAUGUCAGUGAAAACCUGAACACAU